GGCCUACGGGUGGCUGCAGUCGAGAAUCUUCGGCAAUGGGCGCAAGCCUGACCGAGCGACGCUGCGUGCGGGAUGACGGCCCUUGGGUUGUAAACCGCUGUCAGAGGGGAUGAAAGCGAAAGCUUGACAGAGCCUCAGAGGAAGCGCGGGCUAAGUUCGUGCCAGCAGCCGCGGUAAUACGAACUGCGCGAACGUUAUUCGGAAUCACUGGGCUUACAGGGUGCGUAGGCGGCUUUCCAGGUCCGAUGUGAAAUCCCACAGCUCAACUGUGGAAUGGCAUUGGAAACCGGUUGGCUUGAGUGAGCUAGAGGUGCACGGAACUUCCGGUGGAGCGGUGAAAUGUGUUGAGAUCGGAAGGAACACCAGAGGCGAAGGCGGUGCACUGGGGCUUGUCUGACGCUGAGGCACGAAAGCCAGGGGAGCGAACGGGAUUAGAUACCCCGGUAGUCC
rnacentral:rRNA from 1 species